CAAUGAAGCUGCUUUCAGUCGAGAUCCUGUGCUCUUCAAUGAAGGUGCAGCCUAGAACCUUGGAACUGCAAUGAAUUGAAGUUUUGGGAACAAUAGCAACACCUCCUCCCCUGGAUCCUUGGUCUUUGCGGCAGGCACUGCAAUUGGAAGGGACGCCCGGCGCGCUGAAAUGUGCAUCCGUCAAAGCAACGCAGAGCGGCGCGCACCUGCGAGUAUAUGGCAGGACCGACACCUGGCGUGGCAACGCCGGCGUCACGCGACGAAAUGAACGCCG